rnacentral:rRNA from 1 species
CCUCCUUUCUUCCGCCGUGGGGCCUCUUGGGCCCUGGGCGCCCGCCUGCCCCAGCAACGCCGCGUGAAGGAAGAAGGCUUUCGGGUUGUCAACUUCUUUUGACAGGGAAGAGUAGAAGACGUUACCUGUCGAAUAAGCCACGGCUAACUACGUGCCAGCAGCCGCGGUAAUACGUAGGUGGCAAGCGUUGUCCGGAUUUACUGGGUGUAAAGGGCGUGUAGCCGGGUUGACAAGUCAGAUGUGAAAUCCUGCGGCUUAACCGCAGAACUGCAUUUGAAACUGUUGAUCUUGAGUACUGGAGAGGCAGACGGAAUUCCGAGUGUAGCGGUGAAAUGCGUAGAUAUUAGGAGGAACACCAGUGGCGAAGGCGGUCUGCUGGACAGCAACUGACGGUGAGGCGCGAAAGCGUGGGGAGCAAACAGGAUUAGAUACCCUUGUAGUC